GAUGAACGCUGGCGGCGUGCCUAAUACAUGCAAGUCGAGCGAACAGACGAGGAGCUUGCUCCUCUGACGUUAGCGGCGGACGGGUGAGUAACACGUGGAUAACCUACCUAUAAGACUGGGAUAACUUCGGGAAACCGGAGCUAAUACCGGAUAAUAUAUUGAACCGCAUGGUUCAAUAGUGAAAGACGGUUUUGCUGUCACUUAUAGAUGGAUCCGCGCCGCAUUAGCUAGUUGGUAAGGUAACGGCUUACCAAGGCAACGAUGCGUAGCCGACCUGAGAGGGUGAUCGGCCACACUGGAACUGAGGCAAGGUCCAGACUCCUACGGGAGGCAGCAGUAGGGAAUCUUCCGCAAUGGGCGAAAGCCUGACGGAGCAACGCCGCGUGAGUGAUGAAGGUCUUCGGAUCGUAAAACUCUGUUAUUAGGGAAGAACAAAUGUGUAAGUAACUAUGCACGUCUUGACGGUACCUAAUCAGAAAGCCACGGCUAACUACGUG
rnacentral:rRNA from 1 species